rnacentral:rRNA from 1 species
UAGCUAGUUGGUGAGGUAAUGGCUCACCAAGGCGACGAUCAGUAGCGGGUCUGAGAGGAUGAUCCGCCACACUGGGACUGAGACACGGCCCAGACUCCUACGGGAGGCAGCAGUGGGGAAUUUUGGACAAUGGGGGCAACCCUGAUCCAGCCAUUCCGCGUGAGUGAAGAAGGCCUUCGGGUUGUAAAGCUCUUUCAGCAGGAACGAAACGGUAGGGGCUAAUACCCUCUGCUAAUGACGGUACCUGCAGAAGAAGCACCGGCUAACUACGUGCCAGCAGCCGCGGUAAUACGUAGGGUGCGAGCGUUAAUCGGAAUUACUGGGCGUAAAGCGUGCGCAGGCGGAUUGUUAAGCAAGACGUGAAAUCCCCGGGCUUAACCUGGGAAUGGCGUUUUGAACUGGCAGUCUAGAGUGUGUCAGAGGGGGGUGGAAUUCCACGUGUAGCAGUGAAAUGCGUAGAGAUGUGGAGGAACACCAAUGGAGAAGGCAGCCCCCUGGGAUAACACUGACGCUCAUGUACGAAAGCGUGGGUAGCAAACAGGAUUAGAUACCCUGGUAGUCCACGCCCUAAACGAUGUCAACUGGUUGUUGGGGGAGUGAAAUCCCUUAGUAACGAAGCUAACGCGUGAAGUUGACCGCCUGGGGAGUACGGUCGCAAGAUUAAGACUCAAAGGAAUUGACGGGGACCCGCACAAGCGGUGGAUGAUGUGGAUUAAUUCGAUGCAACGCGAAAAACCUUACCUACCCUUGACAUGUCCAGAAUCCUGCAGAGAUGCGGGAGUGCCCGAAAGGGAAUUGGAACACAGGUGCUGCAUGGCUGUCGUCAGCUCGUGUCGUGAGAUGUUGGGUUAAGUCCCGCAACGAGCGCAACCCUUAUCAUUAGUUGCUACGCAAGGGCACUCUAAUGAGACUGCCGGUGACAAACCGGAGGAAGGUGGGGAUGACGUCAAGUCCUCAUGGCCCUUAUGGGUAGGGCUUCACACGUCAUACAAUGGUCGGUACAGAGGGUUGCCAAGCCGCGAGGCGGAGCCAAUCCCAGAAAGCCGAUCGUAGUCCGGAUUGUUCUCUGCAACUCGAGAGCAUGAAGUCGGAAUCGCUAGUAAUCGCGGAUCAGCAUGUCGCGGUGAAUACGUUCCCGGGUCUUGUACACACCGCCCGUCACACCAUGGGAGUGGAAUCUGCCAGAAGUAGGUAGCCUAACCGCAAGGAGGGCGCUUACCACGGUGGGUUUCAUGACAGGGGUGAAGUCGUAACAAGGUAGCCGUAGGGGAACCUGCGGCUG